GCUCCUUAUCUUCCACCUCACCUGCCCUUCUCACAAAAGAUACGCAGCCAAAAAGAAAGAGAAACAGGAGAAAGAGAUUAGAGAUAGAGAACAUAGAGAGAAAGAUAUGCGGAAGAUUUAGCGAGCCCAGAGCCGGUGAGUCUCCGGCAACCGGCCCCCACACGACGACUUCCGACGAGCCUAGGGUUCAGGUGUGAACCAUGAUGACGGCGAUGUGGUGAAUCUGCUUCAAAAACCACGUCUUGCUUCACCACUCCAGAUUUCAUGACAAUGACGGCGGUCAACCGGCUAGGUUCCGGAAGGUUCCAACAAUUUCUGGUUAGCCCUUUUCUCUUGCAUGUUCACUAUUUGGUUGGGCCGGUUGCCCAUGAUCCUUUAUCUGGCGAGUCAUGUUGAUCUGAUGAGUAGGUAACCUCCGGUGAGGUUCCGGUGCCGCUAGGUCUCUGUUGUUCGCCAUCAAACUGCACAUUCAGACUUCGUCUUGGCCGUUACAUGUAGAUAGCAGAUAAGCUAAAAAAUGUCAUGUAGAUGUCUGAGACUGUGAAGUAGGACUAGAGGCCCCUCAGUACAAGGCGAAGCACACAUCGGCUUAGGUGAGGUUGAGGCUAGGUGCAAGAGAAAAGGGCUAACCGGUUGUUCUGGCAGUUCCAUAUUUGUUCAGUUUGUAUAUUGCGUGCUUUGGAUGCAUUAAGAUAUCUCGACUUAACUGCUGCAAGUAAAAGGUGAGAGAGAGAAAAACAAGAAGACUGUGGUCGUUUUGAAGUUCUUCGGGUCGGGCGAGAAGGAGAGCUGCAACAACAGCUAUGAUUUUAAGUAGGGAUUCAUUUUCCCCAUCGGUUCAGCUCGGCCAGAACCGAUGAUGAUGAAAUAGCGGUGAUCACUUCUGUAAUUAACUCCAACAAGAUCGAAGACCAUCAUUCUCAUCCUCCACCUACAAAAGUGAGAAACUAAAUGAGAGAGAAACAGGAGAAAGAGAGAGAACAGUAAGAUAGAGAGAGAUCUGGAACGGUGAGCCUCUGGUAACCGUCCGAGAUGUAGAAACUGUUGGUGGUGUCGGUUUAGAGGUUGUAGUGGCGAGCUCCAUGAAGAUUCAGAGGGUUCGGUUCAGAGGUAACAGUGAUGAGUUUCGACGAGUCUUAAGGUUCCGUCGUGAAUCAUGAUCACAGUGGUGCCGACCACCUGGUCUUUUACAUAAUAGGCUUGCAAGUGGCUUCUUUUAGUUUGUAGUUAGAUUAGUUAGAUCUUCAAGAUAUCGGGUGACUUAUUGGAGAGAGGUAUUGGCUUGAGCCGUAGUAUUACCGGACUCAUGGGGAAUUGGCGUGAUAUUCGAGUCUGGAUAGAUUAUUGGUUCGAAUAAGAACCUCUAGCUUAUAAAUUCUCGGGGUUCUUUAGUUUAGAAAGUAAAAAAGAAUUGCAGCAUAACAAAAAGACUUAAGAUGGAACCAAGUGGGUCCAAAUGGAUGUGGGCCUCGUCUAGACCGCCUAAUGCUUGGUCGGAAGAAAAGGAGCCGAGACAGCUGGAUGUUUUGAAGCAGGCAAUUGUGUUUUGGCUGGGUGAAGACAACUGGCUCUGGGCACGAUAACGCAAGGGGUUUUUCCAUGCGCCUUGCCAAUAGAAAUGUGCGGUAUAGUUCAGUGCUUUGCCUGGUAUGUGGCGAGUAUAGAUACUCGGUGUAACACGUAUUCGUAUCAUGUUUCUUUAGUCAAAAGGUGUGACAAAUUGUUUCCAAAUGGUGUAAGCUCCAACAAUUUCUGUCAUCCAAGUUGGUGACCUAUUUGAUAUGCACAAAGUCUUUCCAGUUCUCAAGAAGAAAGAAGCCGCCUUUGCUGGUAAAAGUUAUAGAAGAGGUCAAGGUUCUCGGCUAUUAUGGAUCCGGAACCGGUCAAAGGCCGUCGCUCUAAGCUAGGAGGAUUGGAAAUUGUUUAAAGUGUAAUUUUGGCCGAUAAGUUUGCUGGUAUGUAGAAUGUAUUCUCUGGUGGAAACAUGUGUAAUAUUUGGUGAUUUGGGUUUAGCGCUUUGCUUUCCCAUGCGAAUAAUAUAACUUUUUGUUUGUUCAGAAAAAAGUUUUAUGUUUUUAA